CUCGAGCACUGAUGAUCUCGAUGCUUUGUCGAGUUCCUGAAUAAUUUCUGAUGUUUUUAAGUCACUACCUCAUCUGAGGUCUGAA